GACGAACGCUGGCGGCGUGCUUAACACAUGCAAGUCGAACGGACAGGCCUCUUUCGGGGGGUACUCGAGUGGCGAACGGGUGAGUAACUCGUGAGUAGACUGCCCUUGACUUUGGGAUAACUUCAGUAAACUAGGGCUAGUACCGGAUAGGAGCUCCUGCUGCAUGGUGGGGGUUGGAAAGAUUCGGGGGCUGGGGGUGGACUGGCGGCGUAUCAGCUUGUUGGUGGGGAAGUGGCUUACCAAGGCUUUGACGGGUAGCCGGACUGUGACGGUGAUCGGCGACACUGGGACCGACAGACGGCCCAGAUGCGGAAGGGUGGGCGAAGGGGGGAAUCUUGCCCGAUGGGUGGCAGGCGGAUGAAGCAGCGCCGUGGGUGGGAAAACGGCCUUCGGGUUGAAAAACGCUUUCGUUCAUGACGAAGCAUUGUGUGACGGUAGUGGGUAAAGAAGCACCGGCUAACUACGUG
rnacentral:rRNA from 1 species